AACGCGCAGAACCUUACCAGCCCUUGACAUCCCGUGACCGGUGGGAGAUGCACCUUUCCCUUCGGGGACGCAGAGACAGGUGCUGCAUGGCUGUCGUCAGCUCGUGUCGUGAGAUGUUGGGUUAGUCCCGCAACGAGCGCAACCCUCGCCCUUAGUUGCCAGCAUUCGGUUGGGCACUCUAAGGGGACUGCCGGUGAUAAGCGAGAGGAAGGUGGGGAUGACGUCAAGUCCUCAUGGCCCUUACGGGCUGGGCUACACACGUGCUACAAUGGUGGUGACAUGGGCAGCGAGCACGCGAGUGUGAGCUAAUCUCCAAAAGCCAUCUCAGUUCGGAUUGCACUCUGCAACUCGAGUGCAUGAAGUUGGAAUCGCUAGUAAUCGCGGAUCAGCACGUCCGCGG
rnacentral:rRNA from 1 species